GGCCGACUGGCUCAGUUGGUUAGAGCGUCGUGCUAAUACUGAUGUGUAUAACGCGAAGGUCUUGGGUUCGAUCCCCACGUUGGUCA